rnacentral:snRNA from 1 species
AUGCUCACUUUGUCAGCACAUAUACUAAAAUUGGAACAAUACAGAGAUUAGUUGGGGCCCUGUGCAAGGAUGACAUGCAAAUUCGUGAAGUGUUUCAUAUUUAU